AGUGAAAUUGUUGGGUCAUAUGGCAAGUGUGUGUUUAACUUUAUGAGAAACUGCCAAGCUGUUUUCCAAGGUAGCAUUACCAUUUUCUAUUCCCACUAGCAGU
rnacentral:pre_miRNA from 1 species